UGGGGAAUAUUGCACAAUGGGCGAAAGCCUGAUGCAGCGACGCCGCGUGAGGGAUGACGGCCUUCGGGUUGUAAACCUCUUUCAGCAGGGAAGAAGCGAAAAGUGACGGUACCUGCAGAAGAAGCGCCGGCUAACUACGUGCCAGCAGCCGCGGUAAUACGUAGGGCGCAAGCGUUGUCCGGAAUUAUUGGGCGUAAAGAGCUCGUAGGCGGUUAGUCGCGUCUGCUGUGAAAACUCGAGGCUCAACCUCGGGCUUGCAGUGGGUACGGGCUGACUAGAGUGCGGUAGGGGUGACUGGAAUUCCUGGUGUAGCGGUGGAAUGCGCAGAUAUCAGGAGGAACACCGAUGGCGAAGGCAGGUCACUGGGCCGCAACUGACGCUGAGGAGCGGAAAGCAUGGGGAGCGAACAGGAUUAGAUAGCCCUGGUAGUCCAUGCCGUAAACGUUGGGCACUAGGU
rnacentral:rRNA from 1 species